GAUGAACGCUGGCGGCGUGCCUAAUACAUGCAAGUCGAGCGAACGGACGAGAAGCUUGCUUCUCUGAUGUUAGCGGCGGACGGGUGAGUAACACGUGGAUAACCUACCUAUAAGACUGGGAUAACUUCGGGAAACCGGAGCUAAUACCGGAUGAUCUUUUGAACCGCGUUGUUCAAAAGUGAAAGACGGUCUUGCUGUCACUUCUAGAUGGAUCCGCGCUGCAUUAGCUAGUUGUUAAGGUAAAGGCUUACCAAGGCAACGAUGCAUAGCCGACCUGAGAGGGUGAUAGGCCACACUGGAACGGAGACACGGUCCAGACUCCUACGGGAGGCAGCAGUAGGGAAUCUGCCGCAAUGGGCGAAAGCCUGACGGAGCAACGCCGCGUGAGUGAUGAAGGUCUUCGGAUCGUAAAACUCUGUUAUUAGGGAAGAACAUAUGUGUAAGUAACUGUGCACAUCUUGACGGUACCUAAUCAGAAAGCAACGGCUAACUACGUG
rnacentral:rRNA from 1 species